UCGGGAAUUUUGGGCAAUGGGCGAAAGCCUGACCCAGCAACGCCGCGUGAAGGAUGAAGUAUUUCGGUAUGUAAACUUCGAAAGAAUAGGAAGAAUAAAUGACGGUACUAUUUAUAAGGUCCGGCUAACUACGUGCCAGCAGCCGCGGUAAUACGUAGGGACCAAGCGUUGUUCGGAUUUACUGGGCGUAAAGGGCGCGUAGGCGGCAAUUCAAGUCAUCUGUGAAAUCUCCGGGCUUAACUCGGAACGGUCAGAUGAUACUGCUUUGCUAGAGUGCAGAAGGGGCAAUCGGAAUUCUUGGUGUAGCGGUGAAAUGCGUAGAUAUUGGGAGGAACACCUGUGGCGAAGGCGGCCACCUGGUUGGAUACUGACGCUGAGACGCGAAAGCGUGGGGAGCAAACAGGAUUAGAUACCCUCGUAGUCCCUGAGCGGGCUGGCAAGGCGCAU
rnacentral:rRNA from 1 species